ensembl:lncRNA
CGUUUACAUAACAGAAUGGAAGAAAGAAGAGACAGCCAAUCACUAGUUACAGCACCAACGAUAACGUUAGGUGAUAAGCCUGACCAGGGUGAGAAGGUGACGAAGCGUACUUCAUGAGCUGUAACCGAAACCUACUGGCAUUUGGAAAGUUUGAGUAUCGGCAUGAACCACCAGGCCAAGUGUUUUUGGUUGACCCUGCUGGACAGAAAGAGAAGGAGGAAUCGGAACACGCUGCAUUCAAAAUCAGGUCUUAGUUAUUCCAUUGUACUGGAUCUAAUACAUAUUAGCAUUUUACAUACCUUCAUAAGUAGAAUAUUUUUUAUGACAUACUGUGAAAAACUGUCUUGGCUGCUGGCUCUGUCACUUUCAGACAUGCGCAAAGCAGACUUGAACCACAGGGGUUCUCUGUAAAGAGAGAGUAAUCCAAAAGGCACAGACACACCCCUUGACUUUCAAUUGGCACCGUUGACCUGUAUGUAUUCUCUCCUGAUUGGCUCUGUGGUGCACAGUCUGGCAGUCUGACUAAAGUGUCAGAGGUAUGAAGAGAGACAUCAUCCUUUGUAUUUAAAUAUAUAAAUACACUACUCAAAAAAAUAAAGGGAACACUAAAAUAACACAUCCUAGAUCUGAAUGAAUGAAAUAUUCUUAUUAAAUAAUUUUUUCUUUACAUAGUUGAAUGUGCUGACAACAAAAUCACACAAAUUAUCAAUGGAAAUCAAAUUUAUCAACCCCUGGAGGUCUGGAUUUGGAGUCCCACUCAAAAUUAAAGUGGAAAACCACACUACAGGCUGAUCCAACUUUGAUGUAAUGUCCUUAAAAGUCAAAAUGAGGCUCAGUAGUGUGUGUGGCCUCCAUGUGCCUGUAUGACCUCCCUACAACGCCUGGGCAUGCUCCUGAUGAGGUGGUGGAUGGUCUCCUGAGGGAUCUCCUCCCAGACCUGGACUAAAGCAUCCGCCAACUCCUGGACAGUCUGUGGUACAACAUGGCGUUGGUGGAUGGAGCGAGACAUGAUGUCCCAGAUGUGCUCAAUUGGAUUCAGGUCUGGGGAACGGGCGGGCCAGUCCAUAGCAUCAAUGCCUUCCUCAUGCAGGAACUGCUGACACACUCCAGCCACAUGAGGUCUAGCAUUGUCUGGCAUUAGGAGGAACCCAGGGCCAACCGCACCAGCAUAUGGUCUCACUUGCACAUUCAUCUUCUGCACAUCUCACUCAAGUGUUUAUUUGCGAAAUUGUAAUUAUUUCGCCACUAUGACCUAUUUAUUGGCUUACCUCCCUAGUCUUACUACAUUUGCACACACUGUAUAUAGACUUUUGUAUUGUGUUAUUGACUCUACGUUUGUUUAUUCCAUGUGUAACUCUGUGUUGUUGUUUGUGUCACACGUCUUUGCUUUAUCUUGGCCAGGUCGCAGUUGUAAAUGAGAACUUGUUCUCAACUGGCCUACCUGGUUGAAUAAAGGUUAAAUAAAAAAAUACUGUAUGUGGGAAUGUCUUAUGUCUGUCCUACAUGUAGUGUUGGUACAUGAAAUAUUCCUCAACUAUAUAUAUCAUAAAUUGCUAUUACAAAUAGAAGUAUUAUGUUCAACAACUGACAUUUUCAGAUAUUAUUUUAACAAACACACUUUGAUGCUUACAAUUCAUUCUCUAUUGUCAUAGAUUUGGUGGGCACUGUCAUCUGUGAUCUUUGUGAUAUGACUUUCAUUAAGCACGUACUGAUGAAACUGUCACUUAAUAUGUUUUCUUAAAGUCCACAAACGCUCUACAUUUAUUCACUCUGUGAUAGGGUUGGAUCCUAUAUGCUACUUUUAUUAUUGUCAUGUAAAUGGUUCAGUGCCUAUAAUUUAGGCUGUGUGUAGAAUGGGG